rnacentral:rRNA from 1 species
UACGUAGGUGGCAAGCGUUGUCCGGAUUUACUGGGCGUAAAGAGCGCGCAGGCGGCCAUUCAAGUCGGGUGUGAAAGCCCAGGGCUCAACCCUGGAAUUGCCUUCGAUACUGUUUGGCUAGAGACCGGAAGAGGUUAGUGGAACUGCGAGUGUAGAGGUGAAAUUCGUAGAUAUUCGCAAGAACACCAGUGGCGAAGGCGGCUAACUGGUCCGGUUCUGACGCUGAGGCGCGAAAGCGUGGGGAGCAAACAGG